GUUGUAUGGUUAAGUGACUAAGCGUACACGGUGGAUGCCUUGGCAGUCAGAGGCGAUGAAAGACGUAGUAACUUGCGAUAAGCCCAGAUUAGGUAGUAACAACCAUUUGAGUCUGGGAUUUCUGAAUGGGGAAACCCACUUACAUAAGUAAGUAUCGCUGCGUGAAUACAUAGCGCAGCGAGGCGAACCGGGGGAACUGAAACAUCUAAGUACCCCGAGGAAAAGAAAUCAACCGAGAUUCCGAAAGUAGCGGCGAGCGAAAUUGGACUAGCCCUUAAGCUUUACACGCGUUAGAUGAACGGUCUGGAAAGUCCGACGAUACAGGGUGAUAGUCCCGUAGUUGACGACGUGUGUUCAGUGAAAUCGAGUAGGGCGGGACACGUGAUAUCCUGUCUGAAUAUGGGGGGACCAUCCUCCAAGGCUAAAUACUACUGACUGACCGAUAGUGAACCAGUACCGUGAGGGAAAGGCGAAAAGAACCCCUGUGAGGGGAGUGAAAUAGAACCUGAAACCGUGUACGUACAAGCAGUAGGAGCACCUUCGUGGUGUGACUGCGUACCUUUUGUAUAAUGGGUCAGCGACUUAUAUUCAGUGGCAAGGUUAACCAUCUAGGGGAGCCGUAGGGAAACCGAGUCUUAACUGGGCGUUCAGUCUCUGGAUAUAGACCCGAAACCAGGUGAUCUAGCCAUGGGCAGGUUGAAGGUUGAGUAACAUCAACUGGAGGACCGAACCGACUAAUGUUGAAAAAUUAGCGGAUGACUUGUGGCUAGGGGUGAAAGGCCAAUCAAACCUGGAGAUAGCUGGUUCUCCCCGAAAGCUAUUUAGGUAGCGCCUCGGACGAAUACUACUGGGGGUAGAGCACUGUUAAGGCUAGGGGGUCAUCCCGACUUACCAACCCUUUGCAAACUCCGAAUACCAGUAAGUACUAUCCGGGAGACACACGGCGGGUGCUAACGUCCGUCGUGGAGAGGGAAACAACCCAGACCGCCAGCUAAGGUCCCAAAUUACUACUAAGUGGGAAACGAUGUGGGAAGGCUCAGACAGCCAGGAUGUUGGCUUAGAAGCAGCCAUCAUUUAAAGAAAGCGUAAUAGCUCACUGGUCGAGUCGGCCUGCGCGGAAGAUGUAACGGGGCUAAGUAGUAAACCGAAGCUGCGGCAAUAUACUUUUGUAUAUUGGGUAGGGGAGCGUUCUGUAAGCGGUUGAAGGUGUGUGGUAACGCAUGCUGGACGUAUCAGAAGUGCGAAUGCUGACAUGAGUAACGAUAAAGGGGGUGAAAAACCUCCUCGCCGGAAGACCAAGGGUUCCUGUCCAACGUUAAUCGGGGCAGGGUAAGUCGACCCCUAAGGCGAGGCCGAAAGGCGUAGUCGAUGGGAAACGGGUUAAUAUUCCCGUACUUCUUACAAUUGCGAUGGGGGGACGGAGAAGGCUAGGUGGGCCUGGCGACGGUUGUCCAGGUUCAAGUGCGUAGGCUUAAGAGUUAGGUAAAUCCGGCUCUUUUUAAGGCUGAGACACGACGUCGAGCACCUACGGGUGUGAAGUCAUUGAUGCCAUGCUUCCAGGAAAAGCCUCUAAGCUUCAGAUUGUAAGGAAUCGUACCCCAAACCGACACAGGUGGUCGGGUAGAGAAUACCAAGGCGCUUGAGAGAACUCGGGUGAAGGAACUAGGCAAAAUGGUACCGUAACUUCGGGAGAAGGUACGCUCUUGAUGGUGAAGUCCCUUGCGGAUGGAGCUGACGAGAGUCGCAGAUACCAGGUGGCUGCAACUGUUUAUUAAAAACACAGCACUGUGCAAAAUCGUAAGAUGACGUAUACGGUGUGACGCCUGCCCGGUGCCCGGAAGGUUAAUUGAUGGGGUUAGACUUCGGUCGAAGCUCUUGAUCGAAGCCCCGGUAAACGGCGGCCGUAACUAUAACGGUCCUAAGGUAGCGAAAUUCCUUGUCGGGUAAGGUUCCGACCUGCACGAAUGGCGUAAUGAUGG
rnacentral:rRNA from 1 species